CGUAGGUGCAAGCGUUGUCCGGAAUUACUGGGUGUAAAGGGAGCGCAGGCGGGAAGACAAGUUGGAAGUGAAAACCAUGGGCUCAACCCAUGAAUUGCUUUCAAAACUGUUUUCUUGAGUAGUGCAGAGGUAGAUGGAAUUCCCGGUGUAGCGGUGGAAUGCGUAGAUAUCGGGAGGAACACCAGUGGCGAAGGCGGUCUACUGGGCACCAACUGACGCUGAGGCUCGAAAAGCAUGGGUAGCAAACAGGAUU
rnacentral:rRNA from 1 species